AUUUUAUGGAGAGUUUGAUCCUGGCUCAGGACGAACGCUGGCGGCAUGCCUAACACAUGCAAGUCGAACGGAGCACGGAAGUUUCGAUGGAAGUGCUUAGUGGCGGACGGGUGAGUAACGCGUGGAUCAUCUACCUCGGUGUGGGGAAUAACAGCCCGAAAGGGCUGCUAAUACCGCAUAACAUCCUUACGGAUCAAAGGCUUUGAGCCGCAUCGAGAUGAGUCUGCGUCCGAUUAGCUCGUUGGUGGGGUAAGAGCCUACCAAGGCGACGAUCGGUAGCCGGCCUGAGAGGGCGAACGGCCACACUGGGACUGAGACACGGCCCAGACUCCUACGGGAGGCAGCAGUGGGGAAUCUUCCGCAAUGGGCGAAAGCCUGACGGAGCAAUGCCGCGUGGGGGAAGAAGGUCUUCGGAUUGUAAACCCUUGUCUCCAGGGAAGAA
rnacentral:rRNA from 1 species